rnacentral:misc_RNA from 1 species
GAUGAAGAACGCAGCGAAAUGCGAUAACUAAUGUGAAUUUCAGAAUUCCGUGAAUCAUCGAGUCUUUGAACGCACAUUGCGCCCCCUGGUAUUCCGGGGGGCAUGCCUGUCCGAGCGUCAUUGCUACCCUCAAGCACGGCUUGUCUAAUGGGCGGUUCGUCUGCGGCCAUCCGCCGGAGACGCCCCCGAAAUGCAGUGGGGAUGUUCGCUAAAUCGCAGCGUCAGGAAUGGAAAUAAACAAUGCUGACGGCUCGAUGUCGAACGUCCACCUAAGGCGUGCCGCCCCCCCGGGGUGUGCCGCCCAACCUCUCUCGGUUGACCUCGGGUCAGGUAGGGAUACCCGCUGAACUUAAGCAUAUCAAUAAGCGGAGGA